rnacentral:rRNA from 1 species
GAUGAACGCUGGCGGCGUGCCUAAUACAUGCAAGUCGAGCGAACAGACGAGGAGCUUGCUCCUCUGACGUUAGCGGCGGACGGGUGAGUAACACGUGGAUAACCUACCUAUAAUACUGGUAUAACUUCGGGAAACCGGAGCUAAUACCGUAUAAUAUAUUGAACCGCAUGGUUCAAUAGUGAAAGACGGUUUUGCUGUCACUUAUAGAUGGAUCCGCGCCGCAUUAGCUAGUUGGUAAGGUAACGGCUUACCAAGGCAACGAUGCGUAGCCGAACUGAGAGGGUGAUCGGCCACACUGGAACUGAGACACGGUCCAGACUCCUACGGGAGGCAGCAGUAGGGAAUCUUCCGCAAUGGGCGAGAGCCUGACGGAGCAACGCCGCGUGAGUGAUGAAGGUCUUCGGAUCGUAAAACUCUGUUAUUAGGGAAGAACAAAUGUGUAAGUAACUAUGCACGUCUUGACGGUACCUAAUCAGAAAGCCACGGCUAACUACGUG